rnacentral:lncRNA from 1 species
AGAGGGGGGACUGAGGCUGCUGUUGGGCUGUGUCAGCUCCUAUAGGUCCAUCAGGGACAGGCUUUGCAGGGAGUUGGGGCGUUCUGCAUGCAUCUGUUGUGGGGAAGGAUCUGGUUCUGCCUUUGCUGAAGCCACAGCAAGUGUUCCACUCAAUUUGCUGCAGUUAUUACUGGCGAGUGUUUUCUUUGGGUUAGGAAAUGACAUGGUACAAUGGUUAAACACUUAAAGUAGCUUCAAGUAGUCCAAGUGUGGUUAAAGUCGGGAAAAAUGAUUUUUACUUAAAUGAAAAAGUGGGGUUUUGUAUGUGGGGUUUUAUAUUUGUUCCUGCACAGCUUGAUGGCUUAAAGAUGUUUGUUAGUGCUUUACUGGAGAACGCUUUCUGAGGGUUAUCUGUUCCCUGAGCAGUUCCUGGUGCCUGGACCCUCCUGUACUGAGGAAAAAUGAGCAGCUCAGUGCACGACCUCAGACAGCCACACUGGCAAUGCUG